rnacentral:rRNA from 1 species
CCUACGGGAGGCAGCAGUGAGGAAUAUUGGUCAAUGGCCGGAAGGCUGAACCAGCCAAGCCGCGUGAAGGACGAAGGUGCCAAGCAUUGUAAACUUCUUUUGUCAAGGGACAAAAUCAGGCUCGAGAGCCUGACCGAGGGUACUUGAAGAAAAAGCAUCGGCUAACUCCGUGCCAGCAGCCGCGGUACUACGGGGGAUGCGAGCUUUAUCCGGAUUGCUUUGGUUAAAAGGGUGCGUAGGCGGGUUGUUAAGUCAGAGGUAAAAGCCCGGGGCUCAACCCCGGCGAGCCGUUGAAACUGGCAGUCUUGAGAUGUCGAGAGGUAUGCGGAAUGCGCAGUGUAGCGGUGAAAUGCUUAGAUAUUGCGCAGAACUCCGAUUGCGAAGGCAGCAUACCGGCGGCGAUCUGACGCUGAGGCACGAAAGCGUGGGUAUCGAACAGGAUUAGAUACCCUAGUAGUC